rnacentral:rRNA from 1 species
AGUGAACGCUGGCGGUAGGCCUAACACAUGCAAGUCGAACGGCAGCACAGUAAGAGCUUGCUCUUACGGGUGGCGAGUGGCGGACGGGUGAGGAAUACAUCGGAAUCUACUUUUUCGUGGGGGAUAACGUAGGGACACUUACGCUAAUACCGCAUACGACCUACGGGUGAAAGCAGGGGAUCUUCGGACCUUGCGCGAUUGAAUGAGCCGAUGUCGGAUUAGCUAGUUGGCGGGGUAAAGGCCCACCAAGGCGACGAUCCGUAGCUGGUCUGAGAGGAUGAUCAGCCACACUGGAACUGAGACACGGUCCAGACCCCUACGGGAGGCAGCAGUGGGGAAUAUUGGACAAUGGGCGCAAGCCUGAUCCAGCCAUACCGCGUGGGUGAAGAAGGCCUUCUGGUUGUAAAGCCCUUUUGUUGGGAAAGAAAAGCAGCAGGUUAAUACCCCGCUGUUCUGACGGUACCCAAAGAAUAAGCACCGGCUAACUUCGUG